GACGAACCGUGCAAACGUUGUUCGGAAUCACUGGGCUUAAAGGGCGCGUAGGCGGGCAAGCAAGUCGAAGGUGAAAUCCCACGGCUCAACCGUGGAAGUGCCCCCGAUACUGCUUGUCUUGAGGGAGAUAGGGGCGUGCGGAACUUCCGGUGGAGCGGUGAAAUGCGUAGAUAUCGGGAAGAACACCAAUAAGGCGAAGGCAGUUAACUAUUCUACUCCUGACAUUGAGGCAUGAAAGCGUGGGGAGCAAAACGG
rnacentral:rRNA from 1 species